GACAGAGGUGGCAAGCGUUGUUCGGAUUCAUUGGGUGUAAAGGGCAGGUAGGUGGUCGGGUAAGUCUGAUGUGAAAUCCCAUGGCUCAACCGUGGAACUGCAUUGGAAACUGCCUGACUUGAGUACCGGAGAGGUGAAGGGAAUUCUCGGUGUAAGGGUGAAAUCUGUAGAUAUCGAGAGGAACACCAGUGGCGAAGGCGCUUCACUGGCCGGUUACUGACACUGAGCUGCGAAAGCAAGGGGAGCAAACAGG
rnacentral:rRNA from 1 species